GAACGCUGUGGGCUUCCAGCCAGUCCAUCCCGAGCACCAGGGGGAGCGGGGCAUAGAGGCAAUGUCCAAAGUCCGCAACUCCCGGUGCUGCUGGAGACACAGGACCAGGGGCUGGGUCUCCUGAGUAACGGCACCUGAACGCAGAAGUCGUCCGUCAAUCGCUUCCACCUGGACCGGUACUGGCUUGUUCCGAGUGGCACCUGAUGAUGGGCGGCAAAAGCAGCGUCCAUAUAGGAGCGGGUUGCCCCUGAAUCUACCAAAGCAUGGGUGAGGAUCCAGGGCCCACCUGGAGGGUAUAAACGUACUGAAACCAUAAGAUGUUGCAAGUCCAUUGGUGCGGGCCCAUUCUGUACGGUUUGGGACCCCCGGUAGCUAGGGCCAUCAGCUACUGGGGUUGGCGGUUUCCCUGCGGCUGGCGUUUCUCAGGGCAGGACCGAGCGAAGUGUCCACUUCCGCCACAGUAAAGACAGAGAUUUCCCUCCCGACGCCGCGCCUUCUCUGCGGGGAAAGGCGUGGCCGCACUGCCCCGAGCUGCAUAGGCUCCUCCGUUAAAUCAGUUGUGACCGUGGGGCUGCCGGAAAAAGCUGGUGCCGUGAACUGGAAGUGUCGGCGACCCGGGCCUGACGACGAUCCUCCAACCGGUCGUCUAUUUGUAGACUCCGUUGAAUGAGAGUGUCCAGCGUGGUGGGGCGUUCCAUUGUGGCCAACUGGUCCAGUACCUCGUCCGAAAGCCCUUCGAGAUACUGGUCCCGCAGUGCCGAGUCAUUCCAGGUCAAGUCCUGUGCCAACAGCCGAAACUCCGUGGUAUAUGUGGCCACCGUGGACUUGCCCUGUUUCAAACGCCGAAUCGCCCGGUUGGCUUGACUCUCUUUCUGGGGGUUGCCGAACGCGGCCUCCAAACGAUUGCAAAACCCCGUAUAGUCUGCCAGCAAGGGGAGUCUUGCCUGAGUAGCGGCAACGCCCACUUGGCCGCCUGGUCCUUUAACAAACUAAUCAAAAAGUGCACCUUGGUGCGGUCGUCAGGAAAGUUCCGGGCUCGCCCCUGAAUAUACAGCUUGGCCUGGGCCAGGAACAUGGGAAAGCUGGCCGGGGCUCCAUCAAAUUUCUCAGGCAAAGCCACUGGGUACUUGCCCGGAGCCGGGGCGUCGGCCCCAGGAGCCGGUAGGGCUUCCAAGCGUUGCUGAAGUGCCACAACCGCGUCACUGAGCUGCUGCACGGUGUGAGUCAAGGCCUGGUUCUUCUGGGCCAAAGCCACCAGUGCAGCCGCCUGGUCAGCCAUGGCCUCUGGCUCUUCCCGAACGCACCCCUACGAAGGGGGAGUGCGGGUUGGGCGGGAGCAAACUGUGCUGGUCCCGGGGGUAAGGUACCUUGGGUGUAGCAGAGUCCACACGAAGAGGGGCAAGGUCCGAGGCAGAGAGCCGGGCGGGGAACAGGAAAGCUGGAACAGGAGGCUGUGCAGGGAACAGGAACACCGGAUGGUCGGGAACAGGAGGCCGAGCAGGGAACAGGAGUACCGGAUAGUCAGGAACAGGAGGCCGAGCAGGGAACAGGAGUACCGGAUAGUCAGGAACAGGAAGCCGAGCAGGGAACAGGAGCACAGGAAGGUCCGAAGCCAACAACGACGUUGCUCCCGCAACCUGGGGCCGGGCUGACUGGGCUUUUAUCCUCUUCUAAGGCCAGGGGCGGUCCCGGUCCCCAGGAGCCCCGCCUCCUCUGGCCUUAAGGCGAGCACUCCUCCUGGGGGCAACCAGUUCCCUUCGCCUCUCUGCCCUAAGCCUCUGCAGAUCAGGAGAGGCCGAAGGGUUACUGGGCCCUGGAGGAGGCUCACCUGUGGCCACUGAGUCAUCAAGCCCCUCUGGGGCCAGAAGGGCUUCACCUGGGGCCAGCUCCUGAUGCACUGCCACAGGUGCAGGCUCUUCAGCAUCUAGGCCUUGCCCCAGUUCAGCCGGCCCUGGAGGCGGGGACUCCUGUGCAGGCUGGGAUUCCUCUGUUUCAUCCUCCGAAUCGGAAUCCCAGGCCAUCACA